rnacentral:tRNA from 1 species
GGCACGGUGGUGCAGUGGGUGGCACUGUCGUCUCACAGCAAGAAGAUCCUGGGUUCGAAUCUCGGCCUUUCUG